rnacentral:rRNA from 1 species
CCUUAAAUAUUAAUAGAUACACUCUUUAAACUUGAAUAAUUUGGCGGUGAUUUAAUCUUGUUAGAGGAACCUGUUUUUGGAUCGAUAAACCACGCAGAAUCUUACUCACUUUAUUGAUAGUAUAUAUACCGUCAUUAUCAGACAAUUUUUAAAAAAUUAAUUGUUACAAGUUAUAAGUUAUUAAAUUAAAUUAGAUCAAGGUGUAGCUUAUAGGUGAGUUAAAAUGGGUUACAAUAAAAUUUAUUUAUAAUGAAACGGACACUACAACGAUGUGCCAGGAAGGAGGAUUUAAUUGUAAUUCUAGUUUAAUAAGCUAAAAAGACAUAAGCUCUAAAUCAU